GACGAACGCUGGCGGCAUGCCUAAUACAUGCAAGUCGAGCGAACAGAUGAAGUGCUUGCCCUUCUGACGUUAGCGGCGAACGGGUGAGUAACACGUAAGGAAUCUACCUAUAAGCGGGGGAUAACAUUCGGAAACGGGUGCUAAUACCGCAUAAUAUCUUCUUCCGCAUGGACGAAGAUUGAAAGACGGCUCUGCUGUCACUUAUAGAUGACCUUGCGGUGCAUUAGUUAGUUGGUGGGGUAACGGCCUACCAAGACGAUGAUGCAUAGCCGACCUGAGAGGGUGAUCGGCCACAUUGGGACUGAGACACGGCCCAAACUCCUACGGGAGGCAGCAGUAGGGAAUCUUCCGCAAUGGGCGAAAGCCUGACGGAGCAAUGCCGCGUGAGUGAAGAAGGCCUUCGGGUCGUAAAACUCUGUUAUAAGAGAAGAACAAAUUGUAGAGUAACUGCUACAGUCUUGACGGUAUCUUAUCAGAAAGCCACGGCUAACUACGUG
rnacentral:rRNA from 1 species